AUUGAACGCUGGCGGCAUGCUUUACACAUGCAAGUCGAAGGGUAACAGGGUGCUUGCACCGCUGACGAGUGGCGAACGGGUGAGUAAUGCAUCGGAAUGUACCGUGUAAUGGGGGAUAGCUCGGCGAAAGCCGGAUUAAUACCGCAUACGCCCUGAGGGGGAAAGUGGGGGACCGAAAGGCCUCACGUUAUACGAGCAGCCGAUGUCUGAUUAGCUAGUUGGUGAGGUAAAGGCUCACCAAGGCGUCGAUCAGUAGCGGGUCUGAGAGGAUGAUCCGCCACACUGGGACUGAGACACGGCCCAGACUCCUACGGGAGGCAGCAGUGGGGAAUUUUGGACAAUGGGCGCAAGCCUGAUCCAGCCAUGCCGCGUGUCUGAAGAAGGCCUUCGGGUUGUAAAGGACUUUUGUCCGGGAGCAAAUCCUAGUGGUUAAUAACCGCUGGGUCUGAGAGUACCGGAAGAAUAAGCACCGGCUAACUACGUG
rnacentral:rRNA from 1 species